ensembl:misc_RNA Metazoa_SRP Metazoan signal recognition particle RNA
GCCGGGCACGGUGGCUCAUGCCUGUAAUCCUAGCACUUUGGGAGGCUGAGGCAGGUGGUUCACCUGAGGUCAGGAGUUCAAGACCAGCCUGACCAACAUGGAGAAACCCCGUCUCUC